rnacentral:lncRNA from 1 species
CUGCGCGACUGACAUAAAGAUCAUAAAAUAUUUCCAUACACCAAAUAUAGUUGACCUAUGGCAUAUAGUAUUAGAUAAAAAGACCAAAACUCAAAACACUUACUUUGACAAUGAACCUAAAAAUGAGGUCAAGGUCACAUGACAUCUGCCCGCUAGACAUGUACACCUUACAAUCAUUCCAUACAACAAAUAUAGUAGACCUAUUGCAUAUAGUAUGAGAAAAACAGACCAAAACACAAAAAUUUAACUAUAACCACUGAACAUGAAAAUGAGGUCAAGGUCAGAUGACACCUGCCAGUUGGACAUGUACACCAUACAGUCCUUCCAUACACCGAAUAUACUAGCCCUAUUGCUUAUAGUAUCUGAGAUAUGGAC